rnacentral:rRNA from 1 species
GACGAACGCUGGCGGCGUGCUUAACACAUGCAAGUCGAACGGAAAGGCCCUGCUUUUGUGGGGUGCUCGAGUGGCGAACGGGUGAGUAACACGUGAGUAACCUGCCCCUGACUUUGGGAUAACUUCAGGAAACUGGGGUUAAUACCGGAUAGGAGCUCCUGCUGCAUGGUGGGGGUUGGAAAGUUUCGGCGGUUGGGGAUGGACUCGCGGCUUAUCAGCUUGUUGGUGGGGUAGUGGCUUACCAAGGCUUUGACGGGUAGCCGGCCUGAGAGGGUGACCGGCCACAUUGGGACUGAGAUACGGCCCAGACUCCUACGGGAGGCAGCAGUGGGGAAUAUUGCACAAUGGGCGGAGGCCUGAUGCAGCAACGCCGCGUGCGGAAUGACGGCCUUCGGUUUGUAAACCGUUUUCGCCUGUGACGAAGCGUGAGUGACGGUAAUGGGUAAAGAAGCACCGGCUAACUACGUG